CAGCACCUCAAGUGGUCAGGAUGAUUAUUGGGCCUAAAGCAUCCGUAGCCGGCUUUGUAAGUUUUCGGUUAAAUCCAUGUGCUCAACGCAUGGGCUGCCGAAAAUACUGCAUAGCUAGGGAGUGGGAGAGGUAGACGGUACUCAGUAGGUAGGGGUAAAAUCCUUUGAUCUAUUGAUGACCACCUGUGGCGAAGGCGGUCUACCAGAACACGUUCGACGGUGAGGGAUGAAAGCUGGGGGAGCAAACCGGAUUAGAUACCCGGGUAGUCCCAGCUGUAAACGAUGCAGACUAGAUGAUGCAUUGGCAUAAUAGCCAUUGCAGUGUCUCAGGGAAGCC
rnacentral:rRNA from 1 species